UGCUUAUCAGCUGCCAGCCCUGUUGCAACUUGAAACUGGACGGAAGACUGAUAAGAGCC
rnacentral:pre_miRNA from 1 species